rnacentral:misc_RNA from 1 species
GAUGAAGAACGCAGCGAAAUGCGAUAAGUAGUGUGAAUUGCAGAAUUCAGUGAAUCAUCGAAUCUUUGAACGCACAUUGCGCCCUUUGGUAUUCCAAAGGGCAUGCCUGUUCGAGCGUCAUUUGUACCCUCAAGCUUUGCUUGGUGUUGGGCGUCUUGUCUCUAGCUUUGCUGGAGACUCGCCUUAAAGUAAUUGGUAGCCGGCCUACUGGUUUCGGAGCGCAGCACAAGUCGCACUCUCUAUCAGCAAAGGUCUAGCAUCCAUUAAGCCUUUUUUUCAACUUUUGACCUCGGAUCAGGUAGGGAUACCCGCUGAACUUAAGCAUAUCAAUAAGCGGAGGA